UACACGCAUGACACACUGCAUAUCAAUAAGCGGAGGAAAAGAAACUAACAAGGAUUCCCUUAGUAACGGCGAGUGAAGCGGGAAGAGCUCAAAUUUGAAAUCUUCAAGGUUCUACCUUGACGAAUUGUAGUUUAUAGAAGUGUUUUCUGUUAGUGGAGUGGCAAAAGUUCUUUGGAAUAGGACAUCAUAGAGGGUGAGAAUCCCGUAUUUGGAUCCGUUACUUCCCUAGCGUUGUGAUACACUUUCAAAGAGUCGGAUUGUUUGGGAAUGCAGUCCAAAAUGGGUGGUAAAUUUCAUCUAAAGCUAAAUAUUGGCGAGAGACCGAUAGCGAACAAGUACCGUGAGGGAAAGAUGAAAAGAACUUUGAAAAGAGAGUUAAACAGUACGUGAAAUUGUCAAAAGGGAAGCGUUUGACACCAGUGUUGUUUUUCCGAAAAUCAAUUACGAAUGUUUUGUUUUUGAGGAGUUAUGACUUCAUCGGCUUGCUCCUUUCUUUAUGAAACUUUCUUAAUGCACUUUUCGGUUAACAAGUCAACAUCAAUUUCUUUUGUUGUAAAAGGGUAUGAGGAAGGUGGCUUUCUUUUCGGAGAAAGUGUUUAUAGCCUUGUGCCUCUGCAAUCGGAGAGAUUGAGGUCUGCAGCGUAGAUCCUUCGGGGUUAGAUACGUUUGUGCUAAGUUAUAGCUUUUCAUAGACAACUUGUUGACUAUGUUUAGUCUUGUAGCUUACUCGCUUACGCUAUUUUACCUACGCUUAGGAUGUUGACGAGACUGUCGAUCUC
rnacentral:rRNA from 1 species